rnacentral:rRNA from 1 species
ACGUAGGGAGCGAGCGUUGUCCGAAGUUACUGGGCGUAAAGCGCGCGUAGGCGGGCUGUUAAGUGAGAGGUGAAAGGCUGGGGCUCAACCCCAUGCAGUGCCUCUCAUACUGGUGGUCUUGAGUGCGGCAGGGAGAAGUGGAAUGGCUGGUGUAGCGGUGAAAUGCGUAGAUAUCAGUCGGAACACCGGUGGCGAAAGCGCACGUCUGGCCCGAUACUGACGCUGAUGCGCGAAAGCUAGGGGAGCAAACGGGA